CAAGACCCAAGUCACAUGGGAGAUAUCCAUGAUGCAGCUGUUUGCCACACUUACAUUAAUGCUAUCAGAAACAGAAGCAGUGGUGGCAUGGGAGAGAGUUAUGUCAUGGACUUUGUCUUCAAAAUACCCCAGUUGAUAUCACAUGAGCAUCACAGUGACGUUCCACAUUGAAAAGUAAGGGCACAGAAUGCCUACCACAAACAAAAUGUCCAAAUGUCUGCAAAGAAUAUGUAUAUCAACACAAAAGCAACAUCAAAUUUACAGUUGGAAGUAUCCAGCAUCACAGAUAAACCUGUGACCAACAAUGCAACCCAACUUAGAGCAGCAAAAUUCCAGCUACCUUACAACUUCCACAACACAGCCUGAAAAGCAACACUUUUCAACUUGUUUUAAACUAUAUAGA